rnacentral:rRNA from 1 species
UACGUAGGGGGCAAGCGUUGUCCGGAAUCAUUGGGCGUAAAGAGCUCGUAGGCGGCUCAAUAAGUCGGGUGUGAAACCCCCAGGCUCAACCUGGGGACGCCACCCGAUACUGUUGUGGCUAGAGUCCAGUAGGGGAGUGUGGAAUUCCCGGUGUAGCGGUGAAAUGCGCAGAUAUCGGGAGGAACACCAGCGGCGAAGGCGGCACUCUGGGCUGGUACUGACGCUGAGGAGCGAAAGCCAGGGUAGCGAACCGG